GAUGAACGCUAGCGGCAGGCUUAAUACAUGCAAGUCGAGGGGUAGCAAGAUUGUAGCAAUACAAUUGUUGACGACCGGCAAACGGGUGCGGAACACGUACACAACCUUCCUACAAGUGGGGAAUAGCCCAGAGAAAUUUGGAUUAAUACCCCGUAACAUAGCGAUGUGGCAUCACAUUGCUAUUAUAGCUUCGGCGCUUGUUGAUGGGUGUGCGGCUGAUUAGAUAGUUGGCGGGGUAACGGCCCACCAAGUCUACGAUCAGUAGCUGAUGUGAGAGCAGGAUCAGCCACACGGGCACUGAGACACGGGCCCGACUCCUACGGGAGGCAGCAGUAAGGAAUAUUGGACAAUGGACGCAAGUCUGAUCCAGCCAUGCCGCGUGAAGGAUUAAGGUCCUCUGGAUUGUAAACUUCUUUUAUAAGGGACGAAAAAGGGUCUUUCUAGAUCGUCUGACGGUACCUUAUGAAUAAGCACCGGCUAACUCCGUGCCAGCCGCCGCAGUAACAC
rnacentral:rRNA from 1 species